rnacentral:rRNA from 1 species
UACGUAGGUGGCAAGCGUUGUCCGGAUUUACUGGGCGUAAAGAGCGCGCAGGCGGUCGUUCAAGUCGCGUGUGAAAGCCCCCGGCUCAACUGGGGAGGGUCACGCGAUACUGAUCGACUCGAAGGCAGGAGAGGGAAGUGGAAUUCCCGGUGUAGUGGUGAAAUGCGUAGAGAUCGGGAGGAACAUCAGUGGCGAAGGCGGCCAUCUGGAUCAACACUGACGCUGAAGCACGAAAGCGUGGGGAGCAAACAGG